AUAGAGGUAGUUAAAAAAUAAUAUUAGAGUUGCAUUCUAAAGUUGAGGCCAGCCUCUCUCUAUC
rnacentral:tRNA from 1 species